UCCGAGUUGACCCCGGCAGUCUCCUACGAGUCCCCGGCCGAACCGCUGGCAACAUAGGACAAGGGUUGCGCUCGUUGCGGGACUUAACCCAACAUCUCACGACACGAGCUGAUGACAGCCAUGCAGCACCUGUGCAGGAGUCCCGAGGGACACCCCGGGUUUCCCCAGGAUUUCCCCUGCAUGUCAAGCCCUGGUAAGGUUCUUCGCGUUGCGUCGAAUUAAACCACAUGCUCCACCGCUUGUGCGGGCCCCCGUCAAUUCCUUUGAGUUUUAACCUUGCGGCCGUACUCCCCGGGCGGGGCACUUAAUGCGUUAGCUUCGGCACGGAGAACGUGGAAUGUCCCCCACACCUAGUGCCCACCGUUUACGGCGUGGACUAC
rnacentral:misc_RNA from 1 species